rnacentral:tRNA from 1 species
GGGGAUUUAGCUCAGUGGUAGAGCGCUUGCCUAGCAAGUGCAAUGCCCUGGGUUCAGUCCUCA